rnacentral:rRNA from 1 species
CAGUCGCCGCGGGAAUACGUAGGGUGCAAGCGUUAAUCGGAAUUACUGGGCGUAAAGCGUGCGCAGGCGGUUAUAUAAGACAGAUGUGAAAUCCCCGGGCUCAACCUGCGAACUGCAUUUGUGACUGUAUAGCUAGAGUACGGCAGAGGGGGAUGGAAUUCCGCGUGUAGCAGUGAAAUGCGUAGAUAUGCGGAGGAACACCGAUGGCGAAGGCAAUCCCCUGGGCCUGUACUGACGCUCAUGCACGAAAGCGUGGGGAGCAAACAGGAUUAGAGACCCCCGUAGUCCCUGUCUCUUAUAC